GUUAGGAAUAUUGGACAAUGGGCGCAAGCCUGAUCCAGCCAUGCCGCGUGAACGAUGAAGGCCUUCGGGUUGUAAAGUUCUUUAGCCGAUGAUUAUAAUGACUGUAGUCGGAAAAUAAGCCCCGGCUAACUUCGUGCCAGCAGCCGCGGUAAUACGAAGGGGGCGUGCGUUAUUCGGAAUCACUGGGCGUAAAGCGUGCGUAGGCGGUUUUGUAAGUUAGGAGUGAAAGCCCAGGGCUCAACCUUGGAAUUGCUCUUAAAACUGCAAGGCUCGAAUCUCGGAGAGGAUAGCGGAAUUUCCAGUGUAGCAGUGAAAUGCGUAGAUAUUGGAAGGAACACCAGUGGCGUAAGCGGCUAUCUGGACGAGUAUUGACGCUGAGGCACGAAAGCGUGGGGAUCAAACAGGAUUAGAUACCCUAGUAGUCC
rnacentral:rRNA from 1 species